GUGAGGCAAUUCCAGCCGCUCAGCCGACGGGCAGGCUCACCCGUCGGCUGAGCGGCUGCAAUUGCCUCAC
ensembl:miRNA gga-mir-1557 gga-mir-1557